UGGACGAAGUUAUAAAUAUAAGCGUGGUUUAUAUCAUCAUCAGAAAUAUGAAUGUGGAGUCCAACCAAAAUUUUCCUGUUAUCUUUGUUUUAAGCAAUUUGCUCACAAAGGAAGUCUACGGAAACAUUUGCUCUUCCUUCAUAAAAUUAUUAUAUAAUAAUAUAUAACAUCUUAAACUUUAAGAACUACAUGUCUUUUUCUACCAUCUAUAAUGUUAUCAUACAUUUAUAACAUAUUUUAAACCAUAAAUUAUAUAUAAUACCUACAUAAUAUAACGAUCAAAUUAUUUUAAACUGUCUUAUGAUUAAAAUCAAUAUUUAAUCAUUUUAGCAAGGUUUUAAUAUGUAUAGGCAGAUUUUUAAAAGCAUGCUCACUCCAAUAUAGGGGUUUAUACCUACUUAUUUUUCAAUUUUGUUUGCUAAAUGGUAUUAGAGUAUACAGUCAUUUUCAGAUUUGGAGUAUACUUAUAUUUAAAAAGAUUAUGUAAAAAAUGAUAGUAUUUGUUUUAGUGUGUUAAGUAUGUUAUAUGUAACAGUUGUGGUUGAUGUUAUAAUUUAUAAACAUAAGUAUACUUUAAUUCCUCACCAGAUAUUUGAAUGUAGAGUUCAACUAAAGUAUAGUUGUGAUAUUUGUUGUAGAUUAUUUGUCCACAGAUCGCGUCUACUGAGUCACUUGUUCAGAAUUCACAAAAUUAUAUUACAACAAAAUAACAUCUUAAAUUAUGUGCCUUCAAUCUCUUAUGUUAUCAUACAUUAUUACAUAUUUUGAAAUCUAAGCAUGUUAUAUACAACAUUGAUUGAUGCACUGAAUAUUGAUGCAAAACCUACAAAUGUUAUUUCUACUUUUAAAGACAUUAAAAAUAUUAUGGAUGUAAUAAGUCACCACAGUUUAAAUGUUAACUCUGUGAUAAAAUGUUCACACAGCCUGAUACUUUGAAAUACCAUGUAGCAUUAAAACACUAUUACACUUGAAGAUGUACUAAGGUCAUAACUAGAGCAAGAACUUUCAUGCAUUAAAAAAUCAUCAAAUAUGCAUUUAAAAACAUGCACUUAUGCAUCAAAAAAUUAAAAAUAUGCGGUUAAAUAUGCCCUUAAAAAAAUUAAUUUUAUUAUUAUUCACUAUAAGUAAAUUGAUUUGAAUUUUUUUUUAAUGUCGGAUCCCAUUCUUUUUCAUUAUUAUCCGUUGAAAGUACAGAUUCACCAAACUCGAUUACAAAAUUACACAAACAAUAAGCUUUUGUCGAAUUUUUUUUUUGGCAUAUUACUCACGAACGUUAUAUACAAAUUAAACUCGUGGAACUUACACACACGUGGUAAAUCUACUAGAACUAAUCUAAUCCACCCACUGACUAUAGAUAGUUACUUGAUACUAUAAAAUUUAUCUCUAUCGUCUUUAUAAGUUUAUAACAAAUUGUUGAUCUUGAUUCAUGGAAAAUAUUCACCAAAGUGCUCGAUUUUCGAUAAACCAUCAAAAUAUGCACUAAAAGCUUAAAAUAUGCUCUUUCAAUCAAAAUUAUACCCCUUAAACCAAAAAAUGUCCAAAUAUGCAAAAAUAUGCACUAAAAACUUUUAGCUUUUGGUCACUAACGUUGUGAAAGGUAUUGUGUACUUACUCUGCAUACGUUUAAUUAAACCAGAAAAAACAUGCAAAUACAUGAAAGUCCUUGCUCUAGUCAUAACAAUACUUAACUCUCCCAGCUUAAUUAAUGCAUUUUAUGGUUAGUUUUUUAUCAAUUCAUUAAUAUUGUAUUCUUUUGUAAUAUAAUAACUUAUUAAUUGAAUAAUACUAAGCAUUUUGGAAUGUAAUCACCCUUAAGAAUAUUAAAAAUGUGUAUUUUGAUUUGAAUAAAACGAUUUAUUAUUA